AACAAUUAUAAGGAUACUAGCUGGGCUUGAAAAAAGCCUAGAAGACACCAGAGAAUCCCUUUCUGGAGAAAUAAAAGAACUA